GAAAUGCGAUAAGUAAUGUGAAUUGCAGAAUUCAGUGAAUCAUCGAAUCUUUGAACGCACCUUGCGCUCCUUGGUAUUCCUUGGAGCAUGCCUGUUUGAGUAUCAUGAAAUCUUCAAAGUAAAUCUUUUGUUAACUCAAUUGGUUUCUACUUUGGUAUUGGAGGUCUUUGCAGCUUCACACCUGCUCCUCUUUGUUCAUUAGCUGGAUCUCAGUGUUAUGCUUGGUUCCACUCGGCGUGAUAAGUUAUCUAUCGCUGAGGACACUGUAAAAGGUGGCCAAGGUAAAUGCAGAUGAACUGCUUCUAAUAGUCCAUUGACUUGGAAAAUACUUUUAUGAUCUGAUCUCAAAUCAGGUAGGACUACCCGCUGAACUUAAGA
rnacentral:misc_RNA from 1 species